UUAUAGGCUGAGAAAAAGAGGAGUAAAAAUAUAGCGUAUUUAGAGAAGGAGACUCAUGGGCUGAGAGGUCUUCUAUACAAAGUAUUUUGAAGGUAGCUUUGGAGCUUUUCUAAUGAAAUAGUAGUAGUUAGAAACGGUAUGUAUCGUUAAAAGAUUUGAGAGUUCUUGAAAUUAUUUUUUUAUUUUCAAGAAAAUAAAGGUGGUAACGCGCGCUGUCGUCCUUUGA
rnacentral:ncRNA from 1 species